UACAGAGGUCCCAAGCGUUGUUCGGAUUCAUUGGGCGUAAAGGGUGUGUAGGUGGCGCUGUAAGUCGGGUGUGAAAUUUCGGAGCUUAACUCCGAAACUGCAUUCGAUACUGCGGUGCUUGAGGACUGGAGAGGAGACUGGAAUUUACGGUGUAGCAGUGAAAUGCGUAGAUAUCGUAAGGAAGACCAGUGGCGAAGGCGGGUCUCUGGACAGUUCCUGACACUGAGACACGAAGGCCAGGGGAGCAAACAGG
rnacentral:rRNA from 1 species